rnacentral:lncRNA from 1 species
AAAUAACAGCCAGGGAGCAUCCCGCACGGGGAGGAAAAAAAAAAAAAAAAGAAAGGCCUCAUCCUGCAAACCCUCCUAAGCGCAGGCCGCAGAUGUGCUCCUGGGAAACCCACGUCGGCAGGGCUCGGCUGGCGAGAGCAGGUCUAACCCUGCGUCCUCCUCCCCCCACCGACGCCCAAGACUCGCUGAACCCCAGGUAGCAGGAGAAAAAUGCCUUCUAGAACUGAAGUAUUUUACAGUUAUCAUAGUAAUCUGCUGUCCUGGGUACUUCAGUGUAUUGUAUUAGCAGCACAGCCAGACAUGAGAAAAAUAAGACUGAGCAAAAGAUAUCUCUGCAGCUACGUUUGGAACGUAGACUGCCCUGUGCCCCAGAGAACCCCAUCUUGCUCGAGUGGAGUGGAUCAAGCACAGCGUAUAUAAAAUGCUUUGAGGUGUCCGACGUGAGGCAGCGUAAUGCAAAGUAUUUCACAGCUUCAGAAAAUGAACAGUAGCUGGUAGAAAAAUUGAAUUGAAACUUCCAAAGGAAUUUUCAGUUCCUCAAGCACCUACCAAAGGGUAUGGCAGUGCUGAAGUAUUUUGGUAGCUUGCUCUCUCCGGGUGCUCUCCUGUAUGAGGCAUUUCAAGUGCCUUGCGGCCCUAGCCUUAAGAAAUCUUAGCAUAUUCUGAAGGCUUUGAGAGUGGCCCAGAGGAAAGAUUAGGUGAGUUAAAAAUUUAUAGCCUAGAAAAUUUAGAAAUCCUCAAGAGCACAUUUUAAUGAAAUCACUUUAUUAGUCUUGACAAGUAGCUUAAAAGAGGAAAAAAAGAAAAAACAAAUUCCAUGCACCCUUUCCCUGCUCCCGCCAGUCCUC